rnacentral:rRNA from 1 species
AACGAACGCUGGCGGCAGGCUUAACACAUGCAAGUCGAGCGCCCCGCAAGGGGAGCGGCAGUCGGGUGAGUAACGCGUGGGAAUCUACCCAUCUCUACGGAAUAACGCAUGGAAACGUGUGCUAAUACCGUAUACGUCCUUCGGGAGAAAGAUUUAUCGGAGAUGGAUGAGCCCGCGUUGGAUUAGCUAGUUGGUGGGGUAAAGGCCUACCAAGGCGACGAUCCAUAGCUGGUCUGAGAGGAUGAUCAGCCACACUGGGACUGAGACACGGCCCAGACUCCUACGGGAGGCAGCAGUGGGGAAUAUUGGACAAUGGGCGCAAGCCUGAUCCAGCCACGCCGCGUGAGUGAUGAAGGCCCUAGGGUUGUAAAGCUCUUUCACCGGUGAAGAUAAUGACGGUAACCGGAGAAGAAGCCCCGGCUAACUUCGUGCCAGCCGCCGCGGUAAGAC